rnacentral:rRNA from 1 species
UACGGAAGGCAGCAGUGGGGAAUAUUGCACAAUGGGCGAAAGCCUGAUGCAGCUAUGCCGCGUGUAUGAAGAAGGCCUUAGGGUUGUAAAGUACUUUCAUCGGGGAGGAAAAACAAAACUAAUAAUUUUAUUUCUUGACGUUACCCGAAAAAGAAGCACCGGCUAACUCCGUGCCAGCAGCCGCGGUAAUACGGAGGGUGCUAGCGUUAAUCAGAAUUACUGGGCGUAAAGAGCACGUAGGUGGUUUUUUUAAGUCAGAUGUGAAUCCCUGGGCUUAACCUAGGAACUGCAUUUUGAAACUGAAAUACUAGAGUAUCGUAGAGGGAGGUAGAAUUCUAGGUGUAGCGGUGAAAUGCGUAGAUAUCUGGAGGAAUACCUGUGGCGAAAGCGGCCUCCUAAACGAAUACUGACACCGAGGUGCGAAAGCGUGGGGAGCAAACGAGGGAUUAGAUACC